rnacentral:lncRNA from 1 species
CAGAGAUUAAGGUUACUGUGGGAUGGGGUUAGAACACUUGCCUUAAAAUUAUUUGAAUCCCAAAUGUGAGAAAAUUGAUGAAAAACCUCAAGCUCUUCUUCUUCUUCUUCUUCUUCUUCUUCUUCUUCUCUCAAACUCACGUUGGCUGCAACUCUUCAGGUUUGUUUUCUUUAACCUUUCAUCUAAUUAUUUAGGUUUUGACUAAUACAAAAGUUGCAAGGUGUCAUGCAUGCAUGAAAGGGGCUAGGUGUCAUCUUUAGAGCAAAGAUAAGUGGCACCAACCUUAUGUUAGCUAGUGACACAUGUCCACUAUAUUUUUUUUUUUUU